UUGAACGCUGGCGGCAGGCCUAACCCAUGCAAGUCGAACGGUAACAGGAAGAAGCUUGCUUCUUUGCUGACGAGUGGCGGACGGGUGAGUAAUGUCUGGGAAACUGCCUGAUGGAGGGGGAUAACUACUGGAAACGGUAGCUAAUACCGCAUAACGUCGCAAGACCAAAAAGGGGGACCUUCGGGCCUCUUGCCAUCGGAUGUGCCCAGAUGGGAUUAGCUAGUAGGUGGGGUAACGGCUCACCUAGGCGACGAUCCCUAGCUGGUCUGAGAGGAUGACCAGCCACACUGGAACUGAGACACGGUCCAGACUCCUACGGGAGGCAGCAGUGGGGAAUAUUGCACAAUGGGCGCAAGCCUGAUGCAGCCAUGCCGCGUGUAUGAAGAAGGCCUUCGGGUUGUAAAGUACUUUCAGCGGGGAGGAAGGGAGUAAAGUUAAUACCUUUGCUCAUUGACGUUACCCGCAGAAGAAGCACCGGCUAACUCCGUG
rnacentral:rRNA from 1 species